rnacentral:rRNA from 1 species
GAGUUUGAUCUUGGCUCAGAUUGAACGCUGGCGGCAUGCCUUACACAUGCAAGUCGAACGGCAGCACGGGAGCUUGCUCCUGGUGGCGAGUGGCGAACGGGUGAGUAAUGCAUCGGAACGUAUCCUGGAGUGGGGGAUAACGUAGCGAAAGUUACGCUAAUACCGCAUAUUCUGUGAGCAGGAAAGCGGGGGACCUUCGGGCCUCGCGCUCUUGGAGCGGCCGAUGUCGGAUUAGCUAGUUGGUGAGGUAAAGGCUCACCAAGGCGACGAUCCGUAGCAGGUCUGAGAGGAUGAUCUGCCACACUGGAACUGAGACACGGUCCAGACUCCUACGGA